UGAACGCUGGCGGGGGCCUAACAAUGCAAGUCGAGCGGUAACAGGUGUAGCAAUACAUGCUGACGAGCGGCGGACGGGUGAGCAAUAUUUGGGAAUCUGCCUAUUAGUGGGGGAUAACCCGGGGAAACUCGGGCUAAUACCGCAUACGCACUACGGUGGAAAGCCGGGGACCGCAAGGCCUGGCGCUAUUAGAUGAGCCCAAAUCGGAUUAGCUAGUUGGUGAGGUAACGGCUCACCAAGGCGACGAUCCGUAGCUGGUCUGAGAGGACGACCAGCCACACCGGAACUGAGACACGGUCCGGACUCCUACGGGAGGCAGCAGUGGGGAAUAUUGGACAAUGGGGGCAACCCUGAUCCAGCGACGCCGCGUGGGUGAAGAAGGCUUGCGGGUUGUAAAGCCCUUUCGGUUGGGAAGAACAGUAUCGACCUAACACGUCGGUACCUUGACGUAACCAACAAAAGAAGCACCGGCUAACUCUGUGCCAGCAGCCGCGGUAAUACAGAGGGUGCGAGCGNUUAUCGGAAUUAC
rnacentral:rRNA from 1 species